GCGCGAAAACUUUACAAUGCGGGAAACCGUGAUAAGGGGACACCGAGUGUCAGCAUCAUAUGCUGGCUGUCCAGGUGUGUAAAAUACACCUGUUAGCAAGGGCCGGGCAAGACCGGUGCCAGCCGCCGCGGUAACACCGGCGGCCCGAGUGGUGAUCGUGAUUAUUGGGUCUAAAGGGUCCGUAGCCGGUUUGGUCAGUCCUCCGGGAAAUCUGAUAGCUCAACUAUUAGGCUAUCGGGGGAUACUACCAGGCUUGGAACCGGGAGAGGUAAGAGGUACUACAGGGGUAGGAGUGAAAUCUUGUAAUCCCUGUGGGACCACCUGUGGCGAAGGCGUCUUACCAGAACGGGUUCGACGGUGAGGGACGAAAGCUGGGGGCACGAACCGGAUUAGAUACCCGGGUAGUCCCAGCCGUAAACGAUGCUCGCUAGGUGUCAGGCAUGGCGCGACCGUGUCUGGUGCCGCAGGGAAGCCGUGAAGCGAGCCACCUGGGAAGUACGGCCGCAAGGCUGAAACUUAAAGGAAUUGGCGGGGGAGCGACAACG
rnacentral:rRNA from 1 species